rnacentral:rRNA from 1 species
CGAACGCUGGCGGCGUGCUUAACACAUGCAAGUCGAACGCGAACGAGUUCUUCGGAACUUUAGUAGAGUGGCGCACGGGUGAGUAACGCGUAAGUAAUCUACCCUCGCAUUUGGGAUAACCCACCGAAAGGUGUGCUAAUACCGGAUACGUCUGAAAUGAUAACUUUUUUUCAGAGAAAGAUGGCCUCUUCAUGAAAGCUAUUGUGCGGGGAGGAGCUUGCGUACCAUUAGCUAGUUGGUAGGGUAAUGGCCUACCAAGGCAACGAUGGUUAGCGGGUCUGAGAGGAUGAUCCGCCACACUGGAACUGAAACACGGACCAGACUCCUACGGGAGGCAGCAGUGAGGAAUAUUGCGCAAUGGGGGAAACCCUGACGCAGCGACGCCGCGUGGAUGAUGAAGGCCUUCGGGUUGUAAAAUCCUGUCAGAUGGGAAGAAGUGCUAUAGUUUUAAUACAAUUAUAGUUUGACGGUACCAUCAAAGGAAGCACCGGCUAACUCC